rnacentral:rRNA from 1 species
AUUGAACGCUGGCGGCAUGCUUUACACAUGCAAGUCGAACGGUAACAGGCCGCAAGGUGCUGACGAGUGGCGAACGGGUGAGUAAUGCAUCGGAACGUGCCCAGUCGUGGGGGAUAACGCAGCGAAAGCUGUGCUAAUACCGCAUACGAUCUAUGGAUGAAAGCGGGGGACCGUAAGGCCUCGCGCGAUUGGAGCGGCCGAUGUCAGAUUAGGUAGUUGGUGGGGUAAAGGCUCACCAAGCCAACGAUCUGUAGCUGGUCUGAGAGGACGACCAGCCACACUGGGACUGAGUCACGGCCCAGACUCCUACGGGAGGCAGCAGUGGGGAAUUUUGGACAAUGGGCGCAAGCCUGAUCCAGCAAUGCCGCGUGCAGGAAGAAGGCCUUCGGGUUGUAAACUGCUUUUGUACGGAACGAAACGGUCUGGGUUAAUACCCUGGGCUAAUGACGGUACCGUAAGAAUAAGCACCGGCUAACUACGCGCCAGCAGCCGCUGUAACAC